rnacentral:rRNA from 1 species
GACGAACGCUGGCGGCGUGCCUAAUACAUGCAAGUCGAACGAAGCUUUUUUAACUGGUGCUUGCACCGACUUAAACAACUGAGUGGCGAACGGGUGAGUAACACGUGGGUAACCUGCCCCAAAGCGGGGGAUAACAUUUGGAAACAGAUGCUAAUACCGCAUAACCACAGAAACCACAUGGUUUCUGUGUCAAAGAUGGUUUCGGCUAUCACUUUAGGAUGGACCCGCGGCGUAUUAGCUAGUUGGUAAGGUAACGGCUUACCAAGGCAAUGAUACGUAGCCGAACUGAGAGGUUGAUCGGCCACAAUGGGACUGAGACACGGCCCAUACUCCUACGAGAGGCAGCAGUAGGGAAUCUUCCACAAUGGGCGCAAGCCUGAUGGAGCAACACCGCGUGAGUGAAGAAGGGUUUCGGCUCGUAAAACUCUGUUGUUAAAGAAGAACGUAUCUAAGAGUAACUGCUUAGGUAGUGACGGUAUUUAACCAGAAAGCCACGGCUAACUACGUGCCAGCAGCCGCCGUAA